rnacentral:lncRNA from 1 species
AUACUUGGGAUUUGAGUUGGUGAGUUUAUUGAGGGCGAAACUCACGGGCUAGCCUAGAGAUUGAGAAUCGAAAAUGUGACCUUACAUUCAUCAUGAGUAUUCUAUCGAGUAUCGCAUUCUGUAUUGUUCAGGCAUAUUAGCUGCAUUUGUUUAGUUGGUUACUAUCUAUCUGUUCUUCUGUUAUGCCUGAUUUAGACCUAGUGGGAAAGUUUGCGUGGUUGGUUGCCAAACCCACUGGAUGUGAUGUAUGUAUAGUGAACCUCUGAUGUUUAUAUAUGUUUUUAUUUCAGCAGUUCUAUACUACUAGUUGUAGUAUUGUAUGAUUACAGAUACAGGUACAGCUAUCGCUUCGUAUAUAUGAAAAAUUUCUUUGUAUACGGCAGAUUUGUCGGCGUACCCUGGGAAACGAGUAAUUUAGGGCGUGACAAAAAAUUUAUGUAGAUCU